rfam:Serratia proteamaculans 568, complete genome.
CCGUCUGACUCGGGGUGCCUCUAGGGGCUGAGAUUUUACCCGUAUUACCUGAUCUGGAUUAUGCCAGCGUAGGGAAGUCUCGGUGCCCCAAC